CCGGGAGCUGCGGGCUGCAGGUGGCAGCAGAAGCCUUUGGUUCCCCGCGGCAGCCGGGGAUGCUGCGGCGGUGCCCGCUGCUCCCUGCGCACAUCGCAGCUCCCGACAAAAGCAGCUCGCUGCUAAAACAGAGCUGGAAGUGCAGACUGUGGCCUCGCAGCCCCCUCCCUUCUCUCCUCCUCGAGUGCGAUCCGGAUCCUUGGAGAGAGGGGAGGGGAAGGAAAGGCUUUGUGCACCACGCAGUGCCAGACCGAGCCCGAAUGAAGAUUUGCUAACACUGAUGCUAAUCGUGACUCUGGAGUGAUUUGACCAGAUUGUUUUAGAACAAAAACCCCCGGGGAGAAAAAGACAAGUACUUUCUGCUGACAUUUCUGCAAACUCUUUUUGCUUCUUUU
rnacentral:lncRNA from 12 species